CAAUCUCCCCUCCAUAUAAGUGAGCACAACCACCCAUUUCGUGCACAGAGAGAGAGAGAGAGAGAUAGAGGAUGGCUUAUACUUGUAAUUCGAAGCGCCUAAAUUUUGUGGCCAUGGUCUUGGUCUUGGCAUUGAUUUGUGAGACCUGCACAAGCAGCAGAGGGAUUGCAAGUGAAAAUGGAGCGAUGGAGGAGAGAGAAGUUCCUGAAACGAAGCAUAUAUUCUACACCAAUAGAACACUUCCUGAAACACCACCAACUCCAAUACCAAAUCCUGAUCACCGUCAUGAUCCAAUUGGGAAACCAGUAACAUAGCAUUGACUCUUGCUAUCAGAUGAAGCCUCUCUCUCUCUCUCUCUCUCUCUUUAGAUGAAGCCGAGGUACUUUCUCUCUCUCCUCUUAUUCCCAGUAUCCGUCUCCAUCUAUUUGGUUGUGUUCAUCUCAAUCCAACUUUAAUUACAACAAUUUAGACAUCUUUAGUCCA